rnacentral:rRNA from 1 species
AGAGUUUGAUCCUGGCUCAGAACGAACGCUGGCGGCGUGGAUAAGACAUGCAAGUCGAACGCUAAUUUCAGGGUAGCAAUAUUCUGAAGUUGGAGUGGCGUAAGGGUGCGUAACACGUGGGUAAUUUGCCAUGAAGUUGGGGAUAACUCGCUGAAAGGCGAGCUAAUACCGAAUGUGACUGCUUGGGGGCCUCCCUGAGCGGUUAAAGUUGGGGACCGUAAGGCCUGACGCUUCUUGAUAAGCCCGCGGCCUAUCAGCUAGUUGGUGAGGUAACGGCCCACCAAGGCUAAGACGGGUAGCUGGUCUGAGAGGACGACCAGCCACACUGGAACUGAGACACGGUCCAGACACCUACGGGUGGCAGCAGUCGAGAAUUUUUCUCAAUGGGCGAAAGCUUGAAGGAGCGACGCCGCGUGGGGGAUGAAGGGCUUCGGCCUGUAAACCCCUGUCAUUUGCGAACAAACCUUUUCAUUGAACAGAUGAAAAGCUGAUCGUAGCAAAAGAGGAAGGGACGGCUAACUCUGUGCCAGCAGCCGCGGUAAUACAGAGGUCCCAAGCGUUGUUCGGAUUUACUGGGCGUAAAGGGUGCGUAGGCGGUCGGGUAAGUCUGAUGUGAAAUCUCCGAGCUUAACUCGGAAACGGCAUUAGAAACUGCCCGGCUGGAGGGUCGGAUGGGAGACUGGAAUUCUCGGUGUAGCGGUGAAAUGCGUAGAGAUCGAGAGGAACACCGGUGGCGAAAGCGAGUCUCUGGACGACUCCUGACACUGAGGCACGAAAGCUAGGGGAGCAAACAGGAUUAGAUACCCUGGUAGUCCUAGCCGUAAACGGUGCACAUUUGCCGUGAGAGGAAUCGACCCCUUUCGUGGCGCAGCUAACGCGUUAAAUGUGCCGCCUGGGAAGUACGGUCGCAAGAUUAAAACUCAAAGGAAUUGACGG